GGAAGUAAAAGUCGCAACAAGGUUUCCGUAGGUGAACCUGCGGAAGGAUCAUUACAGAGUUCAUGCCCUCACGGGUAGAUCUCCCACCCUUGAAUAUUUAUACCUUAGUUGCUUUGGCAGGCCGUGGAAACACCAUGGGCUCCGGCUUAUGCGUGCCUGCCAGAGGAAACAAACUCUGUUUUUAGUGAUGUCUGAGUACUAUAUAAUAGUUAAAACUUUCGACAACGGAUCUCUUGGUUCUG
rnacentral:misc_RNA from 1 species